AUACGGAAGGUCCGGGCGUUAUCCGGAUUUAUUGGGUUUAAAGGGAGGGCAGGCGGAGAUGCAAGCGUGACGUCAAAUUUCGGGGCUCAACCCCGUCUCGCGUCGCGAACUGCGUCCCUUGGUUGCGGGAAGGGGAGGCGGAACUCGUGGUGUAGCGGUGAAAUGCAUAGAUAUCACGAAGAACUCCGAUCGCGAAGGCAGCCUUCCGGCCCGUCAACGACGCUCAUGCUCGAAGGUGCGGGUAUCAAACAGGAUUAGAUACCCUGGUAGUCCGCACAGUAAACGAUGGACACCCGCGGUUUGGCCUGUAUGGCUGAGCCGCCAAGCGAAAGCGUUAAGUGUCCCACCUGGGGAGUACGCCGGCAACGGUGAAACUCAAAGGAAUUGACGGGG
rnacentral:rRNA from 1 species